UACGGAGGGUGCGAGCGUUGUCCGGAAUCAUUGGGCGUAAAGAGCGUGUAGGCGGUUCGGUAAGUCGGCUGUGAAAGUCCAGGGCUCAACCCUGGGAUGGCGGUCGAUACUGCCGGACUAGAGUUCGGAAGAGGCGAGUGGAAUUCCCGGUGUAGCGGUGAAAUGCGCAGAUAUCAGGAGGAACACCGGUGGCGAAGGCGGGUCUCUGGGCAGUUCCUGACGCUGAGGCACGAAGGCCAGGGGAGCAAACGGG
rnacentral:rRNA from 1 species